CAUGAAGGACAUUCGUGAGAACUUCCAGGACCUGAUGCAGUACUGUGCCCAGGACGUGUGGGCCACCCAUGAGGUUUUCCAGCAGCAGCUACCGCUCUUCUUGGAGAGGUGUCCCCACCCAGUGACUCUGGCCGGCAUGCUGGAGAUGGGUGUCUCCUACCUGCCUGUCAACCAGAACUGGGAGCGUUACCUGUCAGAGGCACAGGGCACUUAUGAGGAGCUCCAGCGGGAGAUGAAGAAGUCGUUGAUGGAUCUGGCCAAUGACGCCUGCCAGCUGCUCUCAGGAGAGAGGUAGCCAGGCCUUGGGUGGGCGGGAUUUAGGCAGGGGACUGGCAGGUGGGCGGCCUAGCCUUCGGCUUAGCCUUAGCCCUGCCCUAGUGGAGUGGCUCUGUAGGUACAAAGAAGACCCCUGGCUCUGGGACCUGGAGUGGGACCUGCAAGAAUU
rnacentral:sRNA from 1 species